AAUAGGGAAUAGGGUCAGGGACCAGGAAUAGGGGAGGGGGACCGGGAAUGGGAAUAUGGGAACGGGACAGGGAAUAUGAAAUGGAAAUAUGGGAACAGCGCAGGAAUAUGGCACUGGGAAUAUGGGAACGGCAACCAAAGAAUACGAGACAGGGAAUGAGAUCGGGAAUGGGAUCCGGAUUGGGAUGGGAGCAGGGUUGGACCGGGCGUGGGGUGUCACGGGAACGGGUGGAGGGCAGUGGGAAGAGGGGCAUCCUGGGCUGAUGACACCGGGAACAUGGGGAAAGUUCCAGUUCCUUGAUCAGCUGCUCCAGAACCUCUGCCAGGGUCUCGCAGGGCACCCGGAGUUGCUUGGCCUGGGGUGCCCAAAGCCCUGAGCAACCCCCAAGUCCCUCCCAGGAACCCUCAACUCCCUCGAACCCAGCAUCCCCCACAACCACUGGAAGAUGGCCCCAUGUCCCCCAUGUCUUAGUUCGCCAUCUUUAUUUUUACCCCCGUUUUGGGUGUUUUGAAAGGACAAAGGGAAAUUAAAAGAAAAUCCAGGCCAUGGGGAGCCAGGAGCAUGUGGAACGCCCCAGCCAGGUGUCUUCCCAGCACAGAUCACCAACAAGACAAAUAACUAGGGCUCUGCCCAACAGAGGUCACUGGAGAUCAUCCAAUGCGAAUCCUCCCGUGGCAGACGGAGCUGAAGCAGCGUACAAAACUCUUCCUGCACUCGGGGCAGUUGCAGGGCUUCCCUUAGUGGUGCCUCUGUUGGUGUUUCAUCAAGGCUGAGGUCUACCUCCUCCCCCAGUGGGUGCAGGGAUAUAGGUAAUGGGGGUUCUGGUCAGUUCAUCAUGUGUUGUUUCUCCUGCUGCUUGGGGAGGGGAGUCAUUCCCCUGCUGCACCAAUGGUUCCCUCCCAGAGAUGGUUCUCCAUGAAUUUCUCCAAGGUUUGCAGGUCCCUGCCAGGUCCCUGCACCAGCACAGGUUUCUCAUGGGGUCCCAGCCUCCACUCAGGCAUCCCCCUGCUCCGGCAUGGGCUCCUCCAGGCGCUGCAGGUGUUAUUACAGUUUCUAACUGGCCCAGCCUUGGUGGGCGGCUGGUCUGUCCUGGAGCUGUCUGGCGCUGACUCUGCAGGACAUGGAGGAGCAGCUGCUUCCAGCAGCCUCUCACAAAAGGCACUGCUGAAGACCCCCGGAUCAAAACCUGGCCAUGCAAACCUAGUAUAAGUAUGGCAUUUGGCCCUGCCAGUGAGGUUUGCUGCUGAUUGCUGCAGGAAAAAGGAGACCACUGUGACAUUUCGGGGCAUGUGGAACCAAGGAAACCCUUGUGACCCUGUGGGGCCUAAUGGAACUGAGGGUCCAUUGUGACACAGCGGGGCCACGUGGAGCCAAAGCACGAUUGUGACCCUGUGGAUCUAAUGAGACCAUUGUGACACUUUGGAACCUCAUGGAACCAACGGUCCAUGAUGACACUUUGGAACUAAGGAGACCAUUGUUGAGAGUACAGAAGCUAUGGAACCAAAAGUCCAUGUGACUGAGCAAGAUCUCAUGGAACCAGAAAGACCAUUGUGACACUUUGGGGCCCCAUGGAACCAAAUAACCAUUGUGACACUACAGAAACUAAAAGGACCAAGGGGCCUUUUGACACAGCAGGCCUUGUGGAACCAAGAAGUCCAAAGUCUAAAAUAGCCCUUGCAUAGUUCUGCCUUGGGGAAGAGAAGCCUCCUUGGUGGCAACUUGGGCUUGGCAUACCCUUGAGAAGUGUGUGUGUUUUCAAAGGGGAAAGUUAGGAUUUCACAGGAUUAGUGGGUCAGAGAGAGAGAUGACACAUACCCCAGAGCUUCCAUGCAACAACCACCUGUUUUAUUGUUCAGAUCCUUCUUAUAUAGGAGAUUCAAGAGCCCCUGAUCCAGACAGCUGAUUGGUCUGGCCUUAACACCUCCAAGCUCCCUGACCAGUGAGAUGUCUGCAGCCAGGGGUGGGACAUCAUUGGGCGAGUCCCUGUCUGGGUUUGAAUAAAACCUAUCAUAGUCCACCCUGGGGCUGGCCCAUGGAACUGGCCCAGGUUUCUUGUUUAAAGCCAAAUUAAUUGCUCAAUACAAGCCAGCUGUACUGCAAAUUAAGAGUUCUAGAUUGCUUCAAAAAAUAGAAGAAAGAAAACCUCUGUUCGUCUGAGUGCCACCAGUACUCUGAGCAAAGCAGGUCCCAGGUGAGUGAGGAGAGACAGGAUGGGGCUGGGGAAUGUGGAGCAAGGAUGUCCACACUGGGUCAGACCUCAAGGCACAGCUUCUCUGACAAGGCCAGACUCUCCUGAGGAGAGUCCCUGGAUCAAUAUCAAUCACCUCUUCUCUAAGGAGAACAGUAAUAAAAUACACCCUUUAGAAUAGGAAUGUCUAUUUCUUAGAAGCUCUUUGAAAUAUUUCUCCUUAACGGCAGUAGGUAACUUUCCCAAUGAACUACCUUAGACCAGAGGGAAAUCAAGGCAGACCCAUCGUUUGUCAGGACUUACUUGAUUCUAAUGAGCCCCCUAGUGCAUUUGGUGAUGAGCCCUUGAACCUCAGGGCCUGAAAGGAGAUUGCACAAACCUUUCCAGGAGUCAAAGUCAGAAGAAAAACCCAAAGUGUCUUGAAGCAUUAAUGAGUCCCACUGAGGGACCCCAACACAGGCUCCUCAUGGACUCCUUGAAGGAGAGAACUGGAGGCCAUGAUUGCACAAAAAAAAUUCUCAGAGAUUCUGUAUAGGAAGGAAAAUCCAAAGUAUCUUAAAAACCUGGAGUAUCUCAAA